rnacentral:lncRNA from 1 species
CCCUCGGAGAAGGGAUCGGCAUGCCUCUCCAUCGAGGAGAUAUACAAACUACACUCCGCUGAACGCAUCUAGGAUUCAGAUGCUAACGGAAUUAAGGGGAUAGCUCUUGGAGUUGAGAAGGCUUCAGACAUUCUCAAAUUGGAGGGAUCUGAAUAAAUAUUGUCUGCAUCAUCGUGACUACGGCCAUGACACAGAAGAGUGUAUCCAACUCUAGGAUAAGAUCGAGGACAUUAUCAGGCAUGGUCAUCUCGAUCAGUUUAUUCUUCGAAGGCGGGAGCAGCGAGAAAGGUGGCGUUGGAGAUCUCCCUCGAUCGGUAGAGCAACCAUGAUAGGCAGGGCUGUAGGAAGACCAACUCCC